rnacentral:rRNA from 1 species
GCUUGUCUCAAAGAUUAAGCCAUGCAUGUCUCAGUAUAAGUUCUUAUAUGGCGAAACUGCGAAUGGCUCAUUAAAACAGUUAUAGUUUAUUUGAUGGUUGCUUACUACAUGGAUAACUGUGGUAAUUCUAGAGCUAAUACAUGCAUCAAACCCCGACUUCUGGAAGGGGUGUAUUUAUUAGAUGGAAACCAAUGCGGGGCAACCCGGAUUCUGGUGAUUCAUAAUAACUUUCGGAUCGAUCCUCGGAUCGAUGCAUCAUUCAAGUUUCUGCCCUAUCAGCUUUGGAUGGUAGGGUAUUGGCCUACCAUGGCUUUAACGGGUAACGGAGAAUUAGGGUUCGAUUCCGGAGAGGGAGCCUGAGAAAUGGCUACCACAUCCAAGGAAGGCAGCAGG